rnacentral:rRNA from 1 species
UGGGGAAUAUUGCACAAUGGGCGCAAGCCUGAUGCAGCCAUGUCGCGUGUAUGAAGAAGGCCUUCGGGUUGUAAAGUACUUUCAGCGAGGAGGAAGGCGAUGCGGUUAAUAACCGUGUCGAUUGACGUUACUCGCAGAAGAAGCACCGGCUAACUCCGUGCCAGCAGCCGCGGUAAUACGGAGGGUGCAAGCGUUAAUCGGAAUUACUGGGCGUAAAGCGCACGCAGGCGGUCUGUCAAGUCGGAUGUGAAAUCCCCGGGCUCAACCUGGGAACUGCAUUCGAAACUGGCAGGCUUGAGUCUUGUAGAGGGGGGUAGAAUUCCAGGUGUAGCGGUGAAAUGCGUAGAGAUCUGGAGGAAUACCGGUGGCGAAGGCGGCCCCCUGGACAAAGACUGACGCUCAGGUGCGAAAGCGUGGGGAGCAAACA